UACCUCUUCACCAGGUAUUUUGCUUUACGAAAACAAAUGCGACACACGUUCUGUGGCGCGAAAAAUAACACUUUGAGGUAAAAAAAAAAUUGACAAAAAUCACACACGAGUGGUGAGCAAAUAACGAAUAAAAAUCGAAGGAAAAAAAAGUGUUCAGUGAUAAAAACAAGACUCGAACAGACGACAACCACACCUCUAUGGUGUGCAGUGAGCAGUCUCAGACGGGUUGGAUCGGGAGGAGUAAAUGGAACGCCAGGUCACCACCAUUCUCUGGGUGUGAGAAGCGACGAGAACGCGACGACGACCAUUCCCGGACAGAACCCGAAUCCGACCAGGAGAGGAUGAUUGCUGCAAGAAUAUCGAAUCGGAGUGCGACGAAACGACAGUAGUGACAGACGUGAUGGAGCGAGGAGAGUGGGAAGCAAUGACGACUAUUUCACGGUAGUGUGAAGCUGCGAGCACACGAAAAAAAGCGAGUGCGGCAAGCGAAAAAUUGAGCGCGAAACAAAUGGAGGUUGUUUUUUUUUUCUACCAUCGAAUUUAGAUAAACGCGUGAUUAAUGGAUUUUCGGGUGGCUGCGUGGCGACAAAAAACAGCGUUAGACUCGAAUACACAGAAAUGGAGCGGUGUUUCACGAGAACGAUGGGGCAACUUGAGGUGGUUUGAAAAGGUUGCAGAGCGGGAGUGAUCAGAAGGACUAUUCAAGGAAGGUUCAUCAAUUCGCAAUUUAUUUCAAUUUUAUUCUAAUCUUUCUGCAGAAGAGUGAUGGAUUUUAAGACAAGGAAUUUUGUCAAAAUGUUCGAAGAGGUAUUGUAAUGUAUUUGAUUGUUGAAUUGCAUUAAAAAAAACGGGAAUGCGCAUUUAAUUCAUAUCUGAUUAUAGAAUUGGUUUUCUAUCAAAAA